AGAGGGAACAGCUGAUAUUGAGUCCUGCACCAGGAGAGGCCUGCUGGAUUCUCCUUAUGUCACCAGGCCAGAAAGGGAGGAAAUCUGGAGACAGAGGUUUUGAAGUAGCACUGAGCCAAGGAGAUGCAGGGAUCUCCCCCAUGUCCACUCUCACACCUAGCCAAAAAGGGGAUUCUCCAGCUGCAUACAGAAAUGAAGACUUAGAGUCACCUACAGAAAACACAGCGUGCUGGAGCAUAAAACCACUAAGGGCUGCAGAGUUCUCCAAUAUUAAGACAUAACUGGCUUUGCCUUGGACAGAGUUCCUGAAGACAGAAGAAGUUACCUGUGUUACCAGAGGGACCUAACACAGAAGGUGUUUCUCUAGGUGAAAAAUGGCUGUCCUCUUUAUAGUUGUGGUGGGACAUCAGCACCUCCACAGAGUGAUUUGCUCCAUUUUGUCCAUCCUGGGACACAGUGAAGGAAAGUGGUGUGAAUCGCACUCCCGAGGUGUCUUCCUUCUCCAAGACCUGUAAAGAGCCUCUUGGCAAGACAGCUUCCACGAGGAAUGGUAGAAUCAGAUGGGGGAAAGUUACAUGGGACAAUUUUCCCUUUGAAUGAUAAUGCGUUCUCAUGAAAUGGAGUACAAAAAGUCACCCUUGACCACUAGUGGAAAAAAGCAGAGACUCAUGCCCAAAAUACAUGAGGUCAACCCUAGGGCCCAAAUGGGUUGGGGAAGCUGCAUAAAGGUCUACUUUCAGCUGCCUGUCAUGGAACAUUAACCUGCUUUUGGUGCUAUCUAAAAUUAGAAAGGCAUAUCAUGGGUAUGUCCUGAAUCUCAGUAGAUAACUUGCUUUUUGUAAUAGCCCUGAACUAGAGAGGGAACAGCUGUAGGCCCUGUGUCUCAUCCACAUCAAUCAGCUUUUGUUGAAUGUAUCUUAGAAUGGUGAUUACAGGCAAAUAACAUAUUGACAUAUUAAAAUUGGCAUCUUCUCAUUGCAAAGCGUUUGCCAAUGCCCAUUUAUUGUAUUUACUGCAGCAAUACUGGCAGGAAGCUGGGGAAAAUGAGUUUGGGCCAGAUCAACUUUCCAAAGGCCCUGA
rnacentral:lncRNA from 1 species